rnacentral:rRNA from 1 species
GACGAACGCUGGCGGCGUGCUUAACACAUGCAAGUCGAACGGUAAGGCCCUGCUUUUGUGGGGUGCUCGAGUGGCGAACGGGUGAGUAACACGUGAGUAACCUGCCCUUGACUUUGGGAUAACUUCGGGAAACUGGGGCUAAUACCGGAUAGGAGCUCCUGCUGCAUGGUGGGGGUUGGAAAGUUUCGGCGGUUGGGGAUGGACUCGCGGCUUAUCAGCUUGUUGGUGGGGUAGUGGCUUACCAAGGCUUUGACGGGUAGCCGGCCUGAGAGGGUGACCGGCCACAUUGGGACUGAGAUACGGCGCAGACUCCUACGGGAGGCAGCAGUGGGGAAUAUUGCACAAUGGGCGGAAGCCUGAUGCAGCAACGCCGCGUGCGGGAUGACGGCCUUCGGGUUGUAAACCGCGUUCGCCUGUGACGAAGCGUGAGUGACGGUAAUGGGUAAAAAAGCACCGGCUAACUACGUG